UUCCACCGAAAAUAAUUCCAAUCACUAAUCCAUGCGUGAUUUUCUUCGAGGAGGAAUUGGAAGGUGGACGAUCCGAAACAGUAGGAGUGAAAUCUACACGCAGGAGAAAUACUUCAGCAACAAUGAUAUGUACUAGAAUGUAAGGUGAAGUGGAUUAUAUGGUUCUAUGGAGAAAAAGAUAAAAAUAUCCUUAGGCCAACUUAUUGUCAAAGAUCUUGGCUAACCAUAAGCUGCCUAAAGCAAUACUUGAUACCAGAAAGAAAGCAGAUACGGACCAGGGUUAAGUAGCAAGACAAAGGCAACAUUGAAUCUACUUCAACUGUUCCAGUCAUUCAGGCAAUGACUGGUUCCAUUCUCAACAUGCCUUCUUCACUUUUUGUACUUAUGUAUACAUAUCUGUAUAUUUCCUUUCUGCACUUGAUGCAUGUAGCUAGUCUCACGGCUCUUUGUGUGGGACGCAUGUUUGAAUAUGAAUAAAAUACUUCUCCUUUUGAUGA